UACGUAGGUGGCAAGCGUUGUCCGGAAUUACUGGGUGUAAAGGGCGUGUAGGCGGCUGAUUAAGUCAGUUGUAAAAGGCUGCGGCUUAACCGCAGAAGUGCAAUUGAAACUGGUCAGCUUGAGGGCAAGAGAGGAAAGCGGAAUUCCUAGUGUAGCGGUGAAAUGCGUAGAUAUUAGGAGGAACACCAGUUGCGAAGGCGGCUCUCUGGACUGUAACUGACACUGAGGCACGAAAGCGUGGGGAGCAAACAGGAUUAGAUACCCG
rnacentral:rRNA from 1 species